UCCUCUGAAGUUUCCCUCAGGAGAGCUGGAGUACAUAAUGAAGCAGUUAUAUUUGGUAAAGAGAAUGAUUAGAGGAAUUGUGGAACGCAACAUCUUCAACCUGUUCUCCAAUUUUCAUUGGCUACGGCACAUCUCACUUGCUUAAAUGAACGUAGACACUCAGUGUGUGCUCCAAGAAGGCUAUUUUUGGUAAGUAGGGCUGACGCCGUGGGAUGAACCAAACCUUUAGUAUAAAAGAGUGAGUAGGAAGA
rnacentral:ncRNA from 1 species